rnacentral:rRNA from 1 species
GAGUUUGAUCCUGGCUCAGGAUGAACGCUGGCGGCGUGCCUAAUACAUGCAAGUCGAGCGAACGGACGAGAAGCUUGCUUCUCUGAUGUUAGCGGCGGACGGGUGAGUAACACGUGGGUAACCUACCUAUAAGACUGGGAUAACUCCGGGAAACCGGGGCUAAUACCGGAUAACACAUGAAACCGCAUGGUUUCAUGAUGAAAGACGGUCUUGCUGUCACUUAUAGAUGGAUCCGCGCUGCAUUAGCUAGUUGGUAAGGUAACGGCUUACCAAGGCAACGAUGCAUAGCCGACCUGAGAGGGUGAUCGGCCACACUGGAACUGAGACACGGUCCAGACUCCUACGGGGAGGCAGCAGUAGGGAAUCUUCCGCAAUGGGCGAAAGCCUGACGGAGCAACGCCGCGUGAGUGAUGAAGGUCUUCGGAUCGUAAAACUCUGUUAUUAGGGAGAACAUAUGUGUAAGUAACUGUGCACAUCUUGACGGUACCUAAUCAGAAAGCCACGGCUAACUACG